GUGCUCACUUCAGCAGCACAUAUACUAAAAUAGAAAGGAUACAGAGAACGUUAGCAUGAGCCCUGUGCAAGGAUGACAUACAAAUUUUUGAAGUGUUCCAUAUUUUA
ensembl:snRNA U6 U6 spliceosomal RNA